UACGUAGGGUGCGAGCGUUAAUCGGAAUUACUGGGCGUAAAGCGUGCGCAGGCGGUUUUGUAAGACAGGCGUGAAAUCCCCGGGCUCAACCUGGGAAUUGCGCUUGUGACUGCAAGGCUGGAGUGCGGCAGAGGGGAUGGAAUUCCUGGUGUAGCAGUGAAAUGCGUAGAUAUCAGGAGGAAUACCGAUGGCGAAGGCAGGUCUCUGGGCUGACACUGACGCUCAUGCACGAAAGCGUGGGGAGCAAA
rnacentral:rRNA from 1 species